rnacentral:rRNA from 1 species
UACGGAGGGGGCUAGCGUUGUUCGGAUUUACUGGGCGUAAAGGGCGCGUAGGCGACAAUUCAAGUCAGCUGUGAAAUCUCCGGGCUUAACUCGGAACGGUCAGCUGAUACUGCUUUGCUAGAGUGCAGAAGGGGCAAUCGGAAUUCUUGGUGUAGCGGUGAAAUGCGUAGAUAUCAGGAGGAACACCAACAGCGAAGGCAGCUCGCUGGGACGGUACUGACGCUGAGGCGCGAAAGCGUGGGGAGCAAACAGG